rnacentral:rRNA from 1 species
UACGUAGGGGGCAAGCGUUGUCCGGAUUUAUUGGGCGUAAAGAGCGUGUAGGCGGCUUUACAGGUCCGUUGUGAAAACUCGAGGCUCAACCUCGAGACGCCGGUGGAAACCGUAAAGCUAGAGUCCGGAAGAGGAGAGUGGAAUUCCUGGUGUAGCGGUGAAAUGCGCAGAUAUCAGGAGGAACACCCGUGGCGAAAGCGGCUCUCUGGGACGGUACUGACGCUGAGACGCGAAAGCGUGGGGAACAAACAGG